CGCCCCAGUGCCGCCGGCGGAGCCAGCGCGGAUCGGCCCAGCAUGGAGGGGACGCGGCGAGCCCUGCUCCACCUCGCCGCCGCCUGCUGCCUGCUCUGCGCCCUGCCAGCAGAGGGUCAGAAGACAGCAGAGGCCUUGGUGUCACCAUCACCUCUUCCUAGCACAGCGCUAACCUCGCAUCAGCCAAGGGAAGCCUCUGACUUCAGUCUGGUCACUACUGCCAUUCCUCAGACAAGCCUGGAGAAAAACCUGACUGCUGCAACACUCAGUGCCACUGGGGCUCAUGCUACACAGGUGGAUGAUGCCUUCAUCCCUACCACCCCCAUGGCAAGCUCCAAGGCAGAGAGACUGCAGGCUUCUACCACUGCCAGUCCUGGGGACAUCACAGUUACACAUCCUGAGCAUGACAACAUGAGCUUGUCAGUCAACAGCAGCACUGAAAUCCCCUCCCCUGCCUUGACUGCCAGCACUCUGGAAGAAAACCAGCCCAGCCAUGACGCCACAGAGCCUUUCAGCACAACUGAUGAAACGGAUGAUGCCAGCAGUGCAACCCCCACGCCUCCUCUGAACACUCUGCCCGCAACAACUAACAGCUCUCAGUCGGGGCUUUUGGAUGGGCAGACCCUGAGGCCCACAGCAGCAAGGUCUGAAACAAAGCCAGCAACAAAAACCCCUGGGGGUGCCACAGAGGAGAGCACUGUGGAGCCCAGAACUUCCUCUGCUCCCAUCUCCAUUGUACGAAGCACAGCCUUUGCUACUGCCUCCAGUACUGUGACAGUGACACCCCUUGUGACCAGCUCCACGUCUGCCAGCACAGCUGCCAUCCCCACCAGCACGCCUACACUGGCCCAGUCAUUGGAGCCCAGGCAUGAGAAGACUUCUGUGUUGGAUGUUGGUGAUGAUAACAAUUCAGAGCUACCCAACGUGGCUGGUAAAACGAGGGCUGAUCCCUUGGUAAUCACUGUGAUCUCCGUCUUCAUUGUCAUGGUGGGCAUCCUGGGCCUGGUGGGCUUCUUGCGCUACCGCCAGCACAACAACCGCAUGGAGUUCCGGCGCCUGCAGGACCUGCCCAUGGUGAGUCGUGCCCUCAGCCCAGCCCAUGUGGGCUGCCCUGCCACUGCCCGCUUUGCAGUUCUCCUUCAUUAGCAAUGCUUUGGGUAUUUGCAGCAACACCAAUGCUGAUCACACACUCCUGUUCCUCCUUAGGUCCCUCUCCUUCCAUCCAAGGUUUGAGUCAAGACAGCAAGUCUCAAGGCUGGGCACUAAAGAAGCUCUCUGCCUUCCCCUCACCCUGCAGGGGAAUGCUGAGAGGUUAGAGAGAGGAAGGAGAGCUCCAUCCAGGCUUGUCCUGAAAUGACACCUGCCUAACCUCUCCUCCUGUUUUCUCAUAUAUUUGCUUUGUAACAAUGACAAAGCAGAUUUUAUGCUCUGUUCCAGGGAGGUUGUCUGUCUGUCUGUCUGUGUUUGGCCCUUUGGGAAUAUAAAAAUAUGUGAGGGUUCCAGAGGCUGGACUAACUCUGGGGAAGCUGCAAAUAACUCCCUGAACUUUCUGGAACAGAGGAGUACUGCAGCUAAACAAGCAAGCUGAUGCUGUUUCAAGCUGAGUGGAGUUUUCAACACCCAGUUUUCCACAUCCCUGCAACAGGCAGGCAGUUCCUGCACACACCUCUUCUCUCCAAAUGCUGCAGCAGGAGGGAGACUGAACAGUCCCAAGAUCCAGGAACUGCACAGUGACAGCGUUUAGGUGGAUGGCUGGGCAGAUGGCCACACUGUGAUGGUGUGGCUGUGCUGCCUGCACAGCAGUCACCCAGCUGGGACCAUUAUGCCACCGUGCAGACAUCUCAUUAAAGCACCCUCUUCUCUGCUUCUAGGAUGACAUGAUGGAGGACACCCCUCUCUCCCUCUACAGCUACUAGGCAACCAGGCUGUCUACUGCCCAGAGGAAAAGGCCUUGAGGACUUGGUCCCAGACGAUCUGCUGAGGAAUAUGGGGCUGUGAUUUGCACACAACUGAAAGAUCCUUUUCAGAUGGUUUUUGGUUUUAGACGUUUUAAAUAGUUCAGUGUUGAAGUUUCUAUGCUGCGAAUCAGAGCCCAAGUCUGACCCUCUUCUCCAGGCUGUCCUCAAAACAAUGCCUUGAAGAGGUGUCUCCUCCUUUUAAGUGUGGCAACCAAUUAGCCAAAACAAUCUUUGCCAUGGUGUUCUGCACGGAUCUCUUCUGUUGAUCCUGGUGGCUGCUGCCUUCAAAGGAGGUGGACAAGUGUUUCAGACUAGGGCUCUUAACACUGGUGGUGUCAGCACAGUGCCAGCAAAGGAGACUGCUGUUUUCUGAGGAAGCCAAGAAUGUGGAAAUCAGUUAUCUUGGGCUCCCUCUUGUUCUGUAUUUUUAAAGUUGUUUGUUUUGAUGGUUUUCUUGCACUUUUUUUGUUCCUGUUUCAGCUUUGGUCCCAGGAUUGGCAUUACCCAUCCUGAAACACUUACAGGAGGAUAAAAGACUACUGCGUUUUCUUCCUAGAUGCAUACCUUUUCUCUUUAACCAGGGAAAACAGUUUUGUGGCCACUGGAGAAGUGCCCCUGCUUCUUGAUGUUGCUUUGAAGUUGCUGGGAGGAAAUUGAACAUAAUGUUAGCUUAACCGAGCUUGAUAGGACUCAGUCUAUUGCAAAUUAGACACACUAAUUUGGUCUCACCAAAAUUAGGAAGCCGUGUCUCCUACACUUGAUGCUUUUGGCAUAUGUCUAAACUCCUUUCCCAGGCUCAGUAAAUGCUUUAGUCCAUUUCCCUGCCUCGGCUAACACAAGCCUUUCCUCAGGUACCUCCCAUUUUGCUUCUAGCAUCUGGUUGCUGGAAGUUGUUGUACAAAGCUGGUGCUUCGCUCUCCCUCCUGUGCUAUGCAAGGUCAGAGCUCCUCUACUUUUUGAUGUUGGAUUUUUGAGCCAUUUGGUGUCUUGUCAUGAGGACAGAUCCUGGAUGUAGGUGCCUUCCUCCCCUUCCCUUUCUUAGUGUUAUGCUGAUUAGAUUCUGCACUUUUGCCUCAAAAUAUCACUGCUGUAGACUGCAUCCAAAGCUCUUGAGGCCUUUCAAGGAAACCCAUAGACCAGAGCCUCUGAGUGUAAAUCAGAGGAGCUUCUGGUGCCCUUGCCUCAGAAAGACCAGAGUGUUUGUGACAUGACAAUCUUCAUGUAACUACACCUGCUCUCGUUUUCUAGCUCACAUUUGACUGCAGGUAAAUGGAAACACAUGCCUUCUCUAGAGUGUUUGGUUUUUGACUACUCCAGUUGCUCCUUCAGGAUACAGCAAGGGCUAGAGUUUAUCUGCCACAUUGCUCUACAAACCUCAGUUUCUCCUCUUCUUUCAGUAACAAUAUCACUGAACCCCACAAAGGACAGAUACCAGGCCUCACUUGCAAAAGUACCUUUUUUUCCCCAGUUGUAGCAGGGAAAGGGCAAAUUCCCCAUCAGCUGAGCUCAAGUUACCUGGAAAGCCCAAAGGUGAAGCAGAACCAGUCUGAGUCAAUUAGAUGAACUGGGUAAGGCAGCAGUUCCUCCUCCCUGUGCUGCUGCUUCCAGAGUGGCUGACAAAUGGCUGCAGUGCAGUUGAGCUUCAGCUUGGCCUUCCAUCUGUGUACUGAUGCCCAGUAAAAUAGAGAAGACGGUUGGUUCUCUCCUAUGAUUGCAUGAGAACUAAAGAGCAAUUGUCACAACUCCAAAGCUUUUGUAUCAAGCAUUGUCUGCACAGAGCAAUCUCCCUAGCUACAGACUUGUUUCCCCUGCCGGAGGGCAGGGUGCUGCUGGUUUUCGGCACAAAGUUGGCAAGUUAGUGGUGGAAAAUAGAACUCCAUGGAACUGGUACAGGCUGGCAUAUCUGGGAAUGUGUCUGCACACAAUCAAAAGGGCAGAGGCUGGUUGUUCUGGUUUCCCAUGCAUGGCUGUGCAGGGGAAAGGGAUGAGGAAAAACUCACCCAACACCAAAGUGCUACUUUGUUUGUAAAAUAUGUUGAUAGUGGAUUUUUUUUUUCUGCAAUAAAGUUAUAAAUGCCAAAAGUGUCUCA
ensembl:lncRNA